UUGCUAAAAUACUUUGAUCAUCGGAAUAGUCUUGUUUCUUAAUACUCACUUAUGUAUAUUUAAUAUGCCUAUUGAUACCUCUUCAUAGGACAUAUCUUUCUCAAUAGGAAUAUCUUCAUACUAAAGUACAUGAAAUAAAUCAGGAUGAUACUUGCGUAGUAUUGACACAUGAAAAACAUCAUAAAUAUUAGCUAACUCUGGUGGCGAUGCUAGCCAGUAAACAGUAGUCCGAACUCUUUUUAGUAUUUCGAAUGGUCUAAUGAAGUGAUGGCUCAAUUUGUCUUUCUUCUCAAAUCUCAUAAUGCCUUUCAUU
rnacentral:lncRNA from 1 species